CGGCGAGUGAAGCGGCAAAAGCUCAAAUUUGAAAUCUGGCCCCCUCGGGGUCCGAGUUGUAAUUUGUAGAAGAUGCUUCGGGUGCGGCCCCGGUCUAAGUUCCUUGGAACAGGACGUCAUAGAGGGUGAGAAUCCCGUAUGUGACUGGGUGCCCGCGCCCGUGUGAAGCUCUUUCGACGAGUCGAGUUGUUUGGGAAUGCAGCUCAAAAUGGGUGGUAAAUUUCAUCUAAAGCUAAAUAUGGGCCAGAGACCGAUAGCGCACAAGUAGAGUGAUCGAAAGAUGAAAAGCACUUUGGAAAGAGAGUUAAACAGUACGUGAAAUUGUUGAAAGGGAAGCGCUUGCAAUCAGACUUGCGCCGGGGCGAUCACCGGGGGUUCUCCCCCGGGCACUCGCCCCGGCUCAGGCCAGCAUCGGUUCCCGUGGCGGGAUAAAGGCCCUGGGAACGUGGCCCCUCUCGGGGGGUGUUAUAGCCCAGGGUGCAAUGCCGCCCAUGGGGACCGAGGACCGCGCUUCGGCUAGGAUGCUGGCGUAAUGGUUGUAAGCGACCCGUCUUGAAACACGGACCAAGGAGUCUAACAUCUAUGCGAGUGUUUGGGUGUCAAACCCAUGCGCGUAAUGAAAGUGAACGGGGGUGAGAGCCCGGUAGGGUGCAUCAUCGACCGAUCCUGAUGUCUUCGGAUGGAUUUGAGUAAGAGCAUAGCUGUUGGGACCCGAAAGAUGGUGAACUAUGCGUGAAUAGGGUGAAGCCAGAGGAAACUCUGGUGGAGGCUCGCAGCGGUUCUGACGUGCAAAUCGAUCGUCAAAUUUGCGUAUAGGGGCGAAAGACUAAUCGAACCAU
rnacentral:rRNA from 2 species